rnacentral:rRNA from 1 species
GAGUUUGAUCCUGGCUCAGGACGAUACGCUGGCGGCGUGCCUAAUACAUGCAAGUAGAACGCUGAAGACUUUAGCUUGUUAAAGUUGGAAGAGUUGCGAACGGGUGAGUAACGCGUAGGUAACCUGCCUACUAGCGGGGGAUAACUAUUGGAAACGAUAGCUAAUACCGCAUAACAGCAUUUAACCCAUGUUAGAUGCUUGAAAGGAGCAAUUGCUUCACUAGUAGAUGGACCUGCGUUGUAUUAGCUAGUUGGUGAGGUAACGGCUCACCAAGGCGACGGUACAUAGCCGACCUGAGAGGGUGAUCGGCCACACUGGGACUGAGACACGGCCCAGACUCCUACGGGAGGCAGCAGUAGGGAAUCUUCGGCAAUGGGGGCAACCCUGACCGAGCAACGCCGCGUGAGUGAAGAAGGUUUUCGGAUCGUAAAGCUCUGUUGUAAGAGAAGAACGUGUGUGAGAGUGGAAAGUUCACACAGUGACGGUAACUUACCAGAAAGGGACGGCUAACUACGUGCCAGCAGCCGCGGUAAUACGUAGGUCCCGAGCGUUGUCCGGAUUUAUUGGGCGUAAAGCGAGCGCAGGCGGUUUAAUAAGUCUGAAGUUAAAGGCAGUGGCUUAACCAUUGUUCGCUUUGGAAACUGUUAGACUUGAGUGCAGAAGGGGAGAGUGGAAUUCCAUGUGUAGCGGUGAAAUGCGUAGA